ACUAUGCUAAGCCAUAAACAUUGAUAGCCACUAUACAAUACUUUCCGCCAGAGAACUACAAGUGAAAAACUUUAAACUCAAAGGACUUGACGGUGUCCCAUAUCGACCUAGAGGAGCCCGUCCUAUAAUCGAUACCCCCCGCUCCACCCAACCUCAGCUAGCAAAAUAUCAGCCUAUAUACCGCCGUCGACAGCCUACCCUAUGAAGGUCUAAUAGUAGACAAAAUAGCCCCCCGCUAAUACGUCAGGUCAAGGUGUAGCAAAUGCUGAGGAAGAGAUUGGCUACAUUUUUUAACAUAAAAAAUACGAAAAGUACUAUGAAACCGUACAUGAAGGUGAAUUUAGUAGUAAAAUAAAUAAGAGAGUUUAUUUUAACAACGCUCUGGGACGCGU
rnacentral:rRNA from 1 species